rnacentral:rRNA from 1 species
AGUGAACGCUGGCGGUAGGCCUAACACAUGCCAGUCGAACGGCAGCACAGUAAGAGCUUGCUCUUACGGGUGGCGAGUGGCGGACGGGUGAGGAAUACAUCGGAAUCUACUUUUUCUUGGGGGAUAACGUAGGGAAACUUCCGCUAAUACCGCAUACGACCUACGGGUGAAAGCAGGGGAUCUUCGGACCUUUCGCGAUUGAAUGAGCCGAUGUCGGAUUAGCUAGUUGGCGGGGUAAAGGCCCACCAAGGCGACGAUCCGUAGCUGGUCUGAGAGGAUGAUCAGCCACACUGGAACUGAGACACGGUCCAGACUCCUACGGGAGGCAGCAGUGGGGAAUAUUGGACAAUGGGCGCAAGCCUGAUCCAGCCAUACCGCGUGGGUGAAGAAGGCCUUCGGGUUGUAAAGCCCUUUUGUUGGGAAAGAAAAGCAGCAGGUUAAUACCCCGCUGUUCUGACGGUACCCAAAGAAUAAGCACCGGCUAACUUCGUG